AUUGAACGCUGGCGGCAUGCCUUACACAUGCAAGUCGAACGGUAACGCGGGGCAACCUGGCGACGAGUGGCGAACGGGUGAGUAAUGCAUCGGAACGUGCCCAGUAGUGGGGGAUAGCCCGGCGAAAGCCGGAUUAAUACCGCAUACGACCUACGGGUGAAAGGGGGGGAUCGCAAGACCUCUCGCUAUUGGAGCGGCCGAUGUCAGAUUAGGUAGUUGGUGGGGUAAAGGCCUACCAAGCCGACGAUCUGUAGCUGGUCUGAGAGGACGACCAGCCACACGGGGACUGGGACACGGCCCAGACUCCUACGGGAGGCAGCAGUGGGGAAUUUUGGACAAUGGGCGCAAGCCUGAUCCAGCCAUGCCGCGUGCGGGAAGAAGGCCUUCGGGUUGUAAACCGCUUUUGUCAGGGAAGAAAUCUUUUGAGCUAAUACCUCGGAAGGAUGACGGUACCUGAAGAAUAAGCACCGGCUAACUACGUGCCAGCAGCCGCCGUAAUAC
rnacentral:rRNA from 1 species